rnacentral:rRNA from 1 species
AUUGAACGCUGGCGGAAUGCUUUACACAUGCAAGCCGAACGGUAGAGGGGGCAACCCCUCGAGAGUGGCGAACGGGUGAGUAAUAUAUCGGAACGUGCCCAGUCGUGGGGGAUAACAUAGCGAAAGUUACGCUAAUACCGCAUACGAUCUAAGGAUGAAAGCGGGGGAUCGCAAGACCUCGCGCGAUUGGAGCGGCCGAUAUCAGAUUAGGAAGUUGGUGGGGUAAAGGCUCACCAAGCCAACGAUCUGUAGCUGGUCUGAGAGGACGACCAGCCACACUGGAACUGAGACACGGUCCAGACUCCUACGGGAGGCAGCAGUGGGGAAUUUUGGACAAUGGACGCAAGUCUGAUCCAGCCAUUCCGCGUGCAGGAUGAAGGCCCUCGGGUUGUAAACUGCUUUUGUACGGAACGAAAAGGUCUCUCUUAAUACGGGGGGCUCAUGACGGUACCGUAAGUAUAAGCACCGGCUAACUACGUGCCAGCAGCCGCCGUAA